CAUUAUUCUCUUCUUCAUCAUCAGCACAGGGGUUUUCACAUUUCUCUUCUUCUCCGUUUCAUCUUCAUUAGGGUUUUAGCAUUUUCUCCGCUACCAUGGAUUCACUUGCUAAACUACACUGCAGUCACUCACCUCUCCACCUUUCCUUCAAUCCCAACCGUCCAUUUUUCUCCAAACCCAUAGUUUCCCUCCCCACCAUCAAAACCCCAUCACCACCGUUCAAAAUCACCUCCAUCAAAGCCACCUCAUCAUCACCACCAAACCCUAAACCCUCACUUCUCCAAACCCUAAACCCUAUUCUCAAAACCACUUGCAUCACUCUCACUGCCACCGCCGCUCUUUUCUUCUUCAAUAAAUUCCGCAUUCAACCCGCAUUUGCCGCCGUUCCCGUCACCUCCCCGCCGCCUAUAAUGGAGCCCGUAAACGAAGGAUCAUCAUCAUCGCCAGGUUCGUCUUUUUCGAAUAUGUCAUUGGAAGAGCAAGAGCGUGUUGUGGAAGAGCAAUUAGCUAGAAACCCUAACAAUAUUGACUCUUUGAAGUCGCUUAUGGAGGUUCGGAUUAAAUCCCGGAAGCUCGUACAGGCAAUUGAAGUGGUUGAGCGUUUGAUUGAGUUAGAGCCUGAUGAGGAGGAAUGGCCAUUGCUAAAAGCUCAAAUCUUUAGCUAUAGUGGAGAUUUUGAUUCGGCGAGAAAAGAGUUCGAGGAUAUACUCGACAAAGACCCGCUCCGUGUAGAGGCGUAUCAUGGAUUGGUUAUGGCACAUGCUGAAACUGGAAGUUCAGUUGAUACUGUAUUGAAGAGGAUUGAAUUUGCUAUGGAUAAAUGUAAGAAGGAGAAAAAGAAAUCGGAUUUGAGGGAUUUUAAGUUACUGAUUGCACAAAUUAGAGUAAUGGAGGAGAAAUAUGUAGAUGCUUUGAAUGUUUAUGAGGAGUUGGUGAAGGAGGAACCAAGAGAUUUUAGGCCCUAUUUGUGUCAAGGGAUUAUAUAUACCUUGUUGAGGAAGAAAGAAGAGGCGGAGAAAAAAUUUGAGCAGUUUCGGAAGCUUGUCCCGAAAAAUCAUCCUUAUCGGGAGUAUUUUCUCGAUAACAUGUUUGCAACUAAGUUCUUUUCUGAGAAGGUGCAGAGAGAGGGGGCAGGAGCAAGUGGUUGAGCUCACCGGGGAAUGAACGUAGAGCAUGAAGAAUUUAUGUGCGAUGGAUCCAAGUGAAUACAACGCACUGCUGGUCUUCAUGAUGGGGUUGAGCUGAGCGUUGCCCAGUUAGCUAUUUUUGAUUUUACUACAAGAGAUGACACAGUUAAAGGUGAACUUUUAGUUGGUGAACCAAGAAAGUUGAAUUAGCACACAUGCAUUUCAAGCAGGUCCUAAUUGCAGCAAUCACUUGAUGAAGUCAUGCUCUCUACAAUGGCUUGUUUGGCUAAUUGCACGAUAAUAUUUUACACAUCUUCAUCUUUGAUUGCAAUAUAAAUGUGCAAAAUAAAGUUUCAACUUUAGGUACAAGUUGUUUUCAAUAUCAUUUGCUUUUGUUGUUU